UGAGCCAUUCAAGACAGCUGCAACAGUUCUGUGUGGUGAGAAGUAUCCAACAGUCUCUCUUAUAUUCAACUACAAGACGCUGCUGAUUCUGCAUGUGACAGCGAAUGAUUUGGACAGUGAAACUAUCUCAAGAGUCAAGGCUGCCAUGCUCGGAGAUCUGCAAACACGGUACAAUGACGUAGAACCAUUUCUGGUAGAGUGCAGCCUUGUUGACCCAUAAUUUAGGGACAUCCAGUUCAUCACUGAUCAGAACAGAACUGAUGCUCUGGCAGCCAUCAAAAACAGAAUGUCUACCAUUGCUCUUCGGAUGGGAUUGACAAACAGCUGUCACACAUGAGGAAGCUAAGGCCACAGCUGAUGACAGUGACAAGCCCCCUCAGUUGAACAUCCUGAAUGAUGAGGAGCAAUCUGAUGACAACAACAACUACAAGGAGCAAGAGCCAACUAUUGUUGUUGAAGACACCCCAGAGGCAGAUAAUGACACAAAAACCAACAAGUGAUCUAGGACGUUUGUUUGAUGUGUUCAUUACUAAAGAAGAGUCUUCUGCUGCUGAUAAAGUUGAAUUAGAGCUGAACUGUUAUCUGAAAGAAUCAAGGGCGAAAAUGGAAGUGAAUCCAAUAGACUGGUGGGGGGCAAGGUCUGACAAAUAUCCUAUUCUGGCUAGAGUUGCCUGUUCACACUUGAUCAUCCAAGACACAUCUGUGGCUAGUAAAAGAGUAUUUUCUACUACAGGACACCUUGUAUCGGCCCAAAGGGCUUGUCUGUUGCCAGAAAUUGUAGAUAAACUUGUCUUCCUUAAGAAGAACCUUUAAGUUGAAAAGGUUAAAGCUAAACCAACUUUGAGUGCUUCAGAAGCACCCGGGGGAACAGAAUGACUUUGUAACAAUUCAAUUUAUUGAUGUGACCAGCUGAACACUUAGGUUUAAUGUGUGUUUACUUUCAGUAUUGUGUACAGUUUGAAUUUUGAUUCAAGAAUUCGUUAACAAUGUU